rnacentral:SRP_RNA from 2 species
GCCGGGCAUGGUGGCGCGUGCCUGUAAUCCCGGCUACUUGUGAGGCUGAGGCGAGAGGACUGCUUAACCUCGGGAGGCGGAGGUUACAGUAAGGUGAGAUGGCGCCACUGCACUCCAGCCUGGGCAACAGAGUCAGACUCUGUCUCAAUUUUUUUUUUUUUUUUGAGAUGGAGUUUUGCUCUGUUGCCGAGGCUGGAGUGCAGUGGUGCGAUCGCGGCUCACUGCAAGCUCCGCUUCCUGGGUUCACGGCAUUCUCCUGCCUCAG